ensembl:snRNA U4 U4 spliceosomal RNA
AGCUUUGCGCAGUGGUGGUAUUAUAGCCUGUGAGGUUUAACCAAGGCGUGAUUAUUGCUCAUUGAAAACAUAAAUGCUUAUCGAUUGAUUAUUCAUAAGGUGCCAUUUCUCCUGGAGCUUAAUACAUGCUACUUGAUUGAAUGGCUGAGAAGCC